rnacentral:rRNA from 1 species
GACACGCUGGCGGCGUGCUUAACACAUGCAAGUCGAACGGUGAUCUUGAGAGCUUGCUCUUGGGUGAUCAGUGGCGAACGGGUGAGUAACACGUGAGUAACCUGCCCCUGACUCUGGAAUAACUUCGGGAAACCGAAGCUAAUACCGGAUAUGACACAGAGCCGCACGGUUUCUGUGUGGAAAGUUUUUCGGUUGGGGAUGGACUCGCGGCCUAUCAGCUUGUUGGUGAGGUAAUGGCUCACCAAGGCGACGACGGGUAGCCGGCCUGAGAGGGCGACCGGCCACACUGGGACUGAGACACGGCCCAGACUCCUACGGGAGGCAGCAGUGGGGAAUAUUGCACAAUGGGCGAAAGCCUGAUGCAGCGACGCCGCGUGAGGGAUGAAGGCCUUCGGGUUGUAAACCUCUUUCAGUAGGGAAGAAGCGCAAGUGACGGUACCUACAGAAGAAGCACCGGCUAACUACGUG